rnacentral:rRNA from 1 species
CAGCAGCAGCCGCGGGAAUACGGAGGGUGCAAGCGUUAAUCGGAAUUACUGGGCGUAAAGCGCACGCAGGCGGUUUGUUAAGUCAGAUGUGAAAUCCCCGAGCUUAACUUGGGAACUGCAUUUGAAACUGGCAAGCUAGAGUCUUGUAGAGGGGGGUAGAAUUCCAGGUGUAGCGGUGAAAUGCGUAGAGAUCUGGAGGAAUACCGGUGGCGAAGGCGGCCCCCUGGACAAAGACUGACGCUCAGGUGCGAAAGCGUGGGGAGCAAACAGGAUUAGAUACCCGCGUAGUCCCUGUCUCUUAUAC